rnacentral:lncRNA from 1 species
UGGUGAAGUGAGCAACAGCCAUGCUGCUCACACAAAGCCUGUUUGGUGGUCUCUUCACAUGGACGCGCAUGAAAUUUGGUGCCGUGACUCAGAUCGGAGGACCUCCCUUGGGAGAUCAAUCCCCUGUCCUCCUGUUGUUUGCUCCAUGAGAAAGAUCCACCUACGACCUCAGGUCCUCAGACUGACCAGCCCAAGGAACAUCUCACCAAUUUUAAAUCAGAUCUUCUUGGCUUAGCGGCUGAAGACUGACACUGCCCGAUUGCCUCGGAAGCCCCUUAGACCAUCACGGAUGCCGAGCAUCAGGUAACUCUCACAGUGGAAGGUAAGUCCGUCCCCUUCUUAAUCAAUACGGAGGCUACCCACUCCACAUUACCUUCUUCUCAAGGGCCUGUUUCCCUUGCCUCCAUAACUGUUGUGGGGAUUGACGGCCAGGCUUCUAAACCUCUUAAAACUCCCCAACUCUGGUGCCAACUUAGAUAAUACUCUUUUAAGCACUCCUUUUUAGUUAUCCCCACCUGCCCAGUUCCCUUAUUAGGCUGAGACACUUUAACUAAAUUAUCUCCUUCCCUGACUAGUCCUGGACUACAGCUGUAUCUCAUUGCCACCCUUCUUCCCAAUCCAAAGCCUCCUUUGCAUCCUCCUCUUGUAUCCCCCCACCUUAACCCACAAGUAUAAGAUACCUCUACUCCCUCCUUGGCGACCGAUCAUGCACCCCUUAGCAUCUCAUUAAAACCUAAUCACCCUUACCCCACUCAAUGCCAAUAUCCCAUCUGGCAGCACGCUUUAAAAAGAUUAAAGCCUGUUAUCACUCGCCUGCUACAGCAUGGCCUUUUAAAGCCUAUAAACUCUCCUUACAAUUCCCCCAUUUUACCUGUCCUAAAACCAGACAAGCCUUACACGUUAGUUCAGGAUCUGCGCCUUAUCAACCAAAUUGUUUUGCUUAUCCACUCCGUGGUGCCAAACCCAUAUACUCUCAUAUACUCAAUACCUGCCUCUACAACCCAUUAUUCUGUUCUAGAUCUCAAACAUGCUUUCUUUACUAUUCCUUUGCACCCUUAAUCCCAGCCUCUCUUUGCUUUCACUUGGACUGACCCUGACACCCAUCAAGCUCAGCAAAUUACCUAGGCUGUACUGCUGCAAAGCUUCACAGACAGCCCCCAUUACUUCAGUCAAGCCCAAAUUUCUUCCUCAUCUGUUACCUAUCUCAGCAUAAUUCUCAUAAAAACACACGUGCUCUCCCUGCCAAUCAUGUCCGACUGAUCUCUCAAACCCAAGCACCUUCUACAAAACAACAACUCCUUUCCUUCCUAGGCAUGGUUAGCGCGGUCAGCAUUCUUACACAAGAGCCAGGACCACACCCUGUAGCCUUUCUGUCCAAACAACUUGACCUUACUGUUUUAGCCUAGCCCUCAUGUCUGCGUGCAGCGGCUGCCACUGCUUUAAUACUUUUAGAGGCCCUCAAAAUCACAAACUACGCUCAACUCACUCUCUACAGUUCUCAUAACUUCCAAAAUCUAUUUUCUUCCUCAUACCUGAUGCAUAUACUUUCUGCUCCCCGGCUCCUUCAGCUAUACUCACUCUGUUGAGUCUCCCACAAUUACCGUUGUUCCUGGCCCAGACUUCAAUCCGGCCUCCCACAUUAUUCCUGAUACCUCACCUGACCCCAUGACUGUAUCUCUCUGAUCCACCUGACAUUCACCCUAUUUCCCCAAAUUUCCUUCUUUCCUGUUCCUCACCCUGAUCAAGCUUGAUUUAUUGAUGGUGGUUCCACCAGGCCUAAUCGCCACACACCAACAAAGGCAGGUUAUGCUAUAGUACAAGCCACUAGCCCGCCUCUUAGAACCUCUCAUUUCCUUUCCAUCAUGGAAAUCUAUCCUCAAGGAAAUCACUUCUCAGUGUUCCAUCUGCUAUUCUACUACUACUCAGGGAUUAUUCAGGCCCCCUCCCUUCCCUACACAUCAAGCUUGAGGAUUUGCCCCACCCAGGACUGGCAAAUUAGCUUUACUCAACAUGCCCUGAGUCAGAUUACUAAAAUAUGUCUUAGUCUAGGUAGAUACUUUCACUGGAUAGGUAGAGGCCUUUCCUACAGGGUCUGAGAAGGCCAUCGCAGUCAUUUCUUCCGUUCUGUCAGACAUAAUUCCUCAGUUUAGCCUUCCCACCUCAAUAUAGUCUGAUAACAGACCAGCCUUUAUUAGUCAAAUCAGCCAAGCAGUUUUUCAGGCUCUUAGUAUUCAGUGAAACCUUUAUAUCCCUUACGGUCCUCCAUCUUCAAGAAAAGUAGAAUGGACUAAAGGUCUUUUAAAAACACACCUCACCAAGCUCAGCCACCAACUUAAAAAGGACUGGACAAUAUUUUUACCACUUUCCCUUCUCAGAAUUCAGGCCUGUCUUUGGAAUGCUACAGGGUACAGCCCAUUUAAGCUCCUGUAUAGACGCUCCUUUUUAUUAGGCCCCAGUCUCAUUCCAGACACCAGACCAACUUGGACUGUGCCCCAAAAACUUGUCAUCCCUACUAUCUUCUGUCUAGUCAUAUUCCUACUCACCGUUCUCAACUACUCAUACAUACCCUGCUCUUGUUUACACUGCCGGUUUACACUGUUUCUCCAAGCCAUCACAGCUGAUAUCUCCUGGUGCUAUCCCCAAACUGCCACUCUUAACUCUUGAAGUAAAUAAAUAAUCUUUGCGGGCAGGACUAUGCUGAAUCUCCUUAGGCACUCUCUAAUCAGAUAUCCUGAGUUGUCCCAAUUCUUAGACCUUUUAUACCUGUUUUUCUCCUUCUGUCAUUCCAUUUAGUUUCUCAAUUCAUCCAAAACCGUAUCUAGGCCAUCACCAAUCAUUCUAUAUGACAAAUGUUUCUUCUAACAUCCCCACAAUAUCACCCCUUAUCACAAGACUUCCCUUCAGCUUAAUCUCUCCCACUCUAGGUUCCCACGCUGCCCCUAAUCCUGCUUGAAGCAGCCCUGAGAAACAUCGCCCAUUCUCUCUCCAUACCACCCUCCAAAAAUUUUCGCUGCCCCAACACUUCAACACUAUUUUGUUUUAUUUUUCUUAUUAAUAUAAGAAGGCAGGAAUGUCAAGCCUCUGAGCCCAAGCCAAGCCAUCACAUCCCCUGUGACUUGCACAUAUACGCCCAGAUGGCCUGAAGUAACUGAAGAAUCACAAAAGAAGUGAAUAUGCCUUGCCCCACCUUAACUGAUGACAUUCCACCACAAAAGAAGUGUAAAUGGUUGGUCCUUGCCUUAACUGAUGACAUUACCUUGUGAAAGUCUUUUUCCUGGCUCAUCCUGGCUCAAAAAGCACCCCCACUGAGCACCUUGCGACCCCCCACUCCUGCCCACCAGAGAACAACCCCCCUUUGACGGUAAUUUUCCUUUACCUACCCAAAUCCUAUAAAACGACCCCACCCCAUCUCCCUUCGCUGACUCUCUUUUCGGAGUCAGCCCGCCUGCACCCAGGUGAAAUAAACAGCCAUGUUGCUCACAUAAAGCCUCUUUGGUGGUCUCUUCACACGGACUUGCAUGAA